UACGUAGGGACCGAGCGUUAUCCGGAUUUACUGGGCGUACAGGGAGCGUAGGCGGUUCGGUAAGCCCUCUGUGAAAUCUCCAGGCUUAACCUGGAAAAGUCGGGGGGGACUGCUGGGCUAGAGGACGGGAGAGGAGCGCGGAAUUCCCGGUGUAGCGGUGAAAUGCGUAGAGAUCGGGAGGAAGGCCGGUGGCGAAGGCGGCGCUCUGGAACGUUUCUGACGCUGAGGCUCGAAAGCGUGGGGAGCAAACAGG
rnacentral:rRNA from 1 species